rnacentral:rRNA from 1 species
UGGGGAAUUUUGCACAAUGGGCGCAAGCCUGAUGCAGCGACGCCGCGUGAGGGAUGAAGGCCUUCGGGUUGUAAACCUUUUUCGCUCAUGGUCAAGCCGCAGCUUUGGGUUGUGGUGAGGGUAGUGGGUAAAGAAGCGCCGGCUAACUACGUGCCAGCAGCCGCGGUAAUACGUAGGGCGCGAGCGUUGUCCGGAAUUAUUGGGCGUAAAGGGCUUGUAGGCGGUUGGCCGCGUCUGCCGUGAAAUCCUCUGGCUUAACUGGGGGCGUGCGGUGGGUACGGGUUGACUUGAGUGCGGUAGGGGGGACUGGAAUUCCUGGUGUAGCGGUGGAAUGCGCAGAUAUCAGGGGGGGCACCGGUGGCGAAGGCGGGUCUCUGGGCCGUUACUGACGCUGAGGAGCGAAAGCGUGGGGAGCGAACAGG